rnacentral:rRNA from 1 species
GACGAGGGAUCCCUAGCGUUGUUCAGAAUCAUUGGGCGUAAAGCGGGUGUAGGUGGGCUUUCUAAGUCAGAUGUGAAAUCCCAGGGCUCAACCCUGGAAGUGCAUUUAGAUACUGGAUGGCUUGGAAUUCGGGAGAGGAUAGCGGAAUUCCCAGUGUAGAGGUGAAAUUCGUAGAUAUUGGGAAGAACACCGGUGGCGAAGGCGGCUAUCUGGACCGACA